UAUCUCUUCAUCAUUUAGAAACAAAUUUCCAUUUAGAAAAUCUAAGAAUGAAUCAUUGAUAAUUCGCCAGAUCAUUGAUACAAAAAAUAUCCAAAUACCAAAUCCGACUUCUAUAUACUCCCCACAAACUAGAAGAAGCUCGUGGGAAGGUCAAAGAAAGAACUUGUUCUUCCGACGUUAAGAAUUCUUCCAAUAAUUCCGAGCCCGAUCUUUUCAAAAAAGUGCGUACAGUACUUUUGUGUUUCCGAGCUAAAGUUCUAGCACAAGAAAGUCGAAGUAUAUACUUUAUUCGAUAUAAAGUCUUUUUUUUGGAAGAUCCGCUAUAAUAAUGAAAAAGAUUUCUGCAUAUACGCCCAAAUCGGUCAAUAAUAUCAGAAUCUGAUAAAUCGGACCAAACCGGUUUACUAAUGGGAUGCCCUAAUACGGUACAAAAGUUUGCUUUAGCUAAUGAUCCAAUCAAAGGAAUAAUUGGAACAAGGGUAUCGAACUUCUUAAUUGCAUUAUUGAUUAGAAAUGAAUUUUCUAACAUUUGACUACGUACCAUUGAAGGAUUUAGUCGCACACUUGAAAGAUAGCCCAUAAAGUCACGGGAAUGAUUGGAUAAUUGGUUUAUAUGGAUCCUUCCUGUGUGAAAGCACAGAGAACAAUGACAUUGCCAAAAAUUGACAAGGUAAAAUUUCCAUUUAUUCAUCAAAAGAAACGUCCCUUUUGAAGCCAGAAUGGAUUUUCCUUGAUACCUAACAUAAUGCAUGAAAGGAUCCUUGAAUAACCAUAGGGUAACCUGAAAAUUCCUAGCAAAGACUUCUACAAGACGUUCUAUUUUUCCAUAGAAAUAUAUUCGUUCAAGAAGGGAUCCAAAAGAUGUUGAUCGUAAAUGAGAAGAUUGGUUCCGUAGAAAGACGAAAGUGGAUUCGCAUUCAUAUACAUAAGAAUUAUAUAAGAAGAAGAAGAAUCCUUGAUUUUUUUUAAAAGGAGUAACCGGGCUUCUUUGAAGUAAUAAGACUAUUCAAAUUCCAAUAUUCAUGGAGAAAGAAUCGUAAUAAAUGUAAAGAAGAGGCAUCUUUUACCCAAUAGCGAAGAGUUUGAACCAAGAUUUCCAGAUGAACAGGGUAGGGUAUUAGUAUAUCUAAUACAUAAUUUAGAUGUGAAAAAUUGUCCUCUAAAAAAGGAAAUGUUGAAUGAAUUGAUCGUAAAUUAUAAGAUUUAAAAAUCUUUUUGCCUUCGAAAGAAGAUAAAGAAGAUAUUAAUCGUAGAGAAAACGGAAUUUCCACAAUAAACGCAAAUCCCUCUGAUAUCAUUUGAGAAUACAAACUCUUGUUGCACCCCAAAAAUGAAUUUUUGUUAGAAUCAUUAGUAGAAAUAAGAAAAUGAUUCUGUUGAUACAUUCGAGUAAUUAAACGUUUCACAAUUAGGAAACUUAAUUUAUUGUUAUAACCUGGAUUUUCCAACAAAAUCGACCUAUUUCUAUUUAAACCAUGAUCAUGAGCAAGUGCAUAAAUAUACUCCUGAAAGAUAAGUGGAUAUAGGAAGUUGUGUUGUUGCGAUCUAUCUGGCUGUAAAUAUCUUUGGAUUUCUUCCAUUUGAAAUUCGAUUUGAACCAAAGACGGAAGAUUUUGAGGGUUAUCAAAUGAUACAUAGUGCGAUACAGUUAAAACAAAGUAUUUUAGUAAGAAUAGAUACCUUGGAUACAGGUAAACUUCUCAACGGAUUCUCUAUCAUCUCUUUUUUUUUUCGUUUCGUUUAAUUGGUCUAUGUUAUAGUGUUAUAGGAUAAUAAGAUGGUUAGAAAUCCUUUAUUUUUUCAACCUAAUCGCUCUUUUGACUUCGGAAAAAACUUUCUUUAUCAAUAUACUGUUUCUUCUACACACACAUCUCCGUAAUAGAAAAUGGUAAUAGUUAGGAUUCAUUAAAAAAAUGGAGAAUCCACUCAUGGGACAAGAAACCCUUCCCGCAUCAGGCACUAAUAAAUUUUUAACGUCUAAUUAGAUCGGGAAUCAUUCAAAUUAAGAACAAAAGCUCGUUGCUUUUUCUUUCUUUCCCUAUAAUUUAAUUGAAGCCGCAGCCCUAUCCAUUUAUUCAUUCGACCCAACUUUAUUUUGUUCCGUUCCAAGAAUUCUAACACGGUUUUAUACCCAUCUAGGAACAAUGAAAUAUUCUCAGAACUUUCCGUUGAUACGACAUGCUAUUUUUACCAUUCAUUCCCUUUCAGGAUCAGUCGUGGUCUUCCAAACUUUACCGAGAGUAUGGACGAAUCCCUCACUUCAUCCAUAUGUGUAAAAGAGACUAGCCGCACUUAAAAGCCGAGUACUCUACCGUUGAGUUAGCAACCCGAAGAAAAUAUCGAAGAAAAAUAAAUAAAGAGAUUAGACAAGACAACCAAAAACCAUUGAAGGAAUAAAUCUAAAAAAAUACAUUCACAUUUUCGAAUUAAUUUAAAACAUAAAAUAAAACUAAAUAGAUCCACUUCAUUUAUCACAAUGAAUUAUAUUUGUUCGAUACACUGUUGUCAAUAUAAAUAUUGAAUAGUGAAAAAAAAAAAAGAAAUUUCAAUUGACAACAAUAAAAAAUAUUAAAAAAAAGGACUUGUGUUAGAUUGGCACUACAAAUCUAAUCCAAAUAAAAUAGAUACAAAAAAGUAUAGAUGAGAGAAUAAAUUAAGUGGAAAACAAAACUACAAUUUAUUUAGAUUUAUUUAAUCCAUAAUGGAUU